rnacentral:rRNA from 1 species
UAUGAAGGGGGCUAGCGUUACUCGGAUUGACUGGGCGUAAAGGGCGCGUAGGCGGUUCGUACAGUCAGACGUGAAAUUCCUGGGCUCAACCUGGGGGCUGCGUUUGAUACGUGCGGGCUUGAGUUCGGAAGAGGGUCGUGGAAUUCCCAGUGUAGAGGUGAAAUUCGUAGAUAUUGGGAAGAACACCGGUGGCGACGGCGGCGACCUGGUCCGAUACUGACGCUGAGGCGCGAAAGCGUGGGGAGCAAACAGG